GAUGAACGCUGGCGGCGUGCCUAAUACAUGCAAGUCGAGCGAACGGACGAGAAGCUUGCUUCUCUGAUGUUAGCGGCGGACGGGUGAGUAACACGUGGAUAACCUACCUAUAAGACUGGGAUAACUUCGGGAAACCGGAGCUAAUACCGGAUAAUAUUUUGAACCGCAUGGUUCAAAAGUGAAAGACGGUCUUGCUGUCACUUAUAGAUGGAUCCGCGCUGCAUUAGCUAGUUGGUAAGGUAACGGCUUACCAAGGCAACGAUGCAUAGCCGACCUGAGAGGGGGGUCGGCCACCUGAGAGGGGGACCGGGCACAGGGCGCCUGCGGGACGGCCCAGACGGGUACGGUCGGCAGUGGGCGGGAGCAUGACAAAACGGCCCGGAGUGAGAUGUAGAGGUGUCGGGUGCGGAAAGCCGUUUUAUGGGGGAUAAACAGAUUUCGACUGAGAUGAACCGUGCGUGACGGUACUUAAUAAAAAAGCACCGGCUAACUACGUG
rnacentral:rRNA from 1 species